AUUUAUUAACAAGCUUUCGACUGCCAGUCUGCAGUCUUCGACGGGUAGAUUUAUACCCGUCGAAGACUGCAGACUGGCAGUCGAAAGCUUGUU